UGUUCUACAUUUGAGAUGCUUCCAACCGUUUCAUGUCUAACUCAUAUAAAUCACUGAAACUUUGACAAAUUUAUGAGUCCUUGAGGACUCCUAAUCCUUGAUGGUCCGUCCAAGGAAACUUCCCUGUAGAGUGAACCUUUUUUACCUACAUUCAUCCCUUUUGUAACUACAAUGCUCUGUCGACGGUAGUUUUUCGAAACCUUGACGUCCUGGGCUUGUCACCCUGUGUAAUUUUAACAAAAAAACACGAAAAAGAAAAAAAAAAGAAAAAAAAGUGAAUGGUCCAAAUGAUAAAUUUAUAACAGGUAUCUAUUUUUUUUCUAUUCCUAUUCUUAUUCUCGUGACACUUGUCGAGACGUCCUGGGUUUUUAAUUAAUUAUGACCAUUUACAACUUGAAUUUUCUAAUCCUUGAAAAAUCAAAAAUAAUUUCUUCUCUAUCGUUGUGUUAAUCUUGUUACGUGGCGAUAAAUUUUCACGUUACAUCUUUAUCCACAGCAGGAAUCUCGUAAAAUUAGUGGCAGUGUGUCAUUUCCAAUAAAUGGUGUCAACGUUUAGGAAAACGGAUCAUGGAAAAUGACAAAUAUAAAGGAUAUUUCUGAAAAAAAAAAAAACAGAAACAAAGAAAUAUAACAGAAAGACGAAACUAGUUAACGAAAGAAUACCAUUUCCCUUUAUUCGAAAAUUUUUCAAUACUUUCUCCUGUUAAAUUGUUUUUUCUGUUAAGGUGAUAUCUCAAUUACCAUGCAAAUUUCACACGUUCUUGUCAAAGCAUUGGGAGAGAGAGAAAAAAGGAAAAACCUUUCUUCGUUCCAUUGUUGGAAAAGAUUAUCCCUUUUUCGUGUAGAAAAAAUCGCUAGAUAUUCAACUUAUACUAUCGGUAUUCUUAAUUAUUUGUGAUUAACGUUAAAAAAAAAAUAAAAAAGUAAAAAGAGAGAGAGAGAGAGAGGAAGGGAGAUUGUAUUUUCCUAUUUUCGACAUUUCGAUAUUUGAAUGUUCUCCCUGUGGGGAACGAAGAGAUUAGUUUCACGGCUCGUUAUCGUGAAAAUAAUUCGAGAGAAAAGUCCAUGAAAUAGGAAUCCAUUCGGAUUGCCUGGUGAAAAUGAUUUUCGAGUAAAUCCUUCAAAGGGAUACCCGAAAGCCGAUGGAAGAGAGGAGUCAGUCGAUAGAUAGCGAACGCCCGAUAUCGUAUCCGUGCGUAAAACGAAAUUUCCAAUGGAAAAUGCUAGCGGAGCAGAACCAACCGAAGCAGAGAACGAAACUGAACACGACUACGACACGCUACGUCACUACCACCGGAUGUUGUUGGCUAACGAAUCUUCGUCAAUCGAUUUUACUCGAUUUUUGAUCCGGUUUACGCCAAUGGAUCCCUCCUACCAUCGACGUUAAUGAAAAUAUUUUUUUGCGUCUGGCACGAACUGGAAAUGGUUUAAACAACGUCGGAGUAACAACGGAUCGAUAACAACGGGUCCAUCUCCGACUGUCUGGAACUUUUAUCUCGAGAGUUUCAGGAUAGAGUUUCUCCGACGAAGAGUUAUCCGACGAGAAAAUAGCAAAGUCUCCAGACAACACCUCUGCGAUAUCUCAAACUUUGGACGAAUCGAUGGAUGGAUGGAUGGAUGGAUGGAUGGAUGAUAUAGAUACGUCGUUGGUUCGUGAAUUUUGCGUGGAAAUUCAUCGUAAAUUGGGUUGAUAGAUAUAGAUGGUAAAACCUAUAGAAACGAAAAAAUAAAACGAGAAGAAGAAGAAAAAAG
rnacentral:lncRNA from 1 species